CCCGGUUUCCAAGUCACUUCCUGCUCGAGCUUCAGAACACUUCAAAGAACUAAGUGCAGGUUCUUUCCAAAUAGAUUCGUUUCUUGAAACUCACCAACAAGUCAAACACCAGGAAAGUGGGGAUUUCUGAACGCCACCCACUUGGACGGCAACUGGUAUUUAGUAGUUUCAAAUAUUAAGAGAAGAAAAACGACCUUGCUAAGGCAGUAUCUAAUCUCCGGGAGCACAGGAAAUGAGGGCGGCAAGUCUGAUUGGCAAGGAGGCCCUGGGGUUGCACGAAGCAGCCGCUCCCUAGCAGGGCCCACUAGCACGCCUCCAGCCUGUCUCCAGCUGAGCACCCCAGGGAAAGCACCACUAAAUUCCCUAUGAAUCCAGCAACCAAUCAACUGCGCCAUGGUCUCCAGGAUUGUCUGCUGGGGGCGGAAACAUCGCACAUGAGCUAAAGGAGAACACGAGGCGCCGAGCAAGCCUCCAGUGUGGCGGUUGUCUUGUGGUUCCCGAGUUUCCUCCAAGGGAGAUCUGAUCUGUCGUGGCGCCCCGGCAGGGUUGGUGAGACAUUCAUCACUUCCUCCCUCAACAAAAGGCUGUGAGAGAUGAAACCAUCCUGCUCUCUGAAAAUCAGUAAAAGCUGGCCUGAGACUAUGUAAAAGAAACCAUUUCUGAGACCGUUUGGAAAAUGAAAUUGUGCUCUUUAAAAUAGCCUUUCUUCAAAUUCUUGUGACUUACUAAAAAUGACCACUAACAUAUUCCGUUGGUUCCAUUUUGGUUUUGGUCAGAGUUUCUUCUGAACUCAUUUCACUGAGAACUUUGAUGACAUUUAUCCUUCACUUCCUUUUUUUUUUUCUGUCCCCUUCUGGACUGAGGCUAAGGCAUUGUGUCCCUCUUGGUACAGCAGCUUCUGUUUUUGACAGAUGAGUUAAGGUGCAGAGACUGACUGAGUGGUGAUCAAUCAUGGUUUCCUCUCAAGGUACUCUGAUAAUCAAUGUGCCGGAUUCUGUCUUGAGAAUGCAAGACUCAGCUGGGGAGGCAACAAGCACAGUAUGAACGUUACUGUGUCACCACGUUCCAAGCACUUUACAGACGUGAACUCACAAUGUGUGGGGCAGGGCGUUAUCUGGAAUGACGGAUCACGUGCAAUGUCGUCCACGGCCACAUGAACCAUCCCUGAGUGGGCACAGCCAAGGUUUCAUGAGCAAAGAGCAUCUGGACUGAGCCUCUUGGAUCACUGUGCUUCAUAUAGGCUAAGAGAGUCGUGCGUGUACUAACGUCUUUACUUGGUUUUGGUGUAUGUGUACGCACACGCAGUAUGUGCUCAUGAACACACGUGUGGAGGUUUGAGGACAGUUUUUGGAGUCAGUUCUCCCCUUACACCUUGUUUGUGAGCAUGUCUCUCUUGUUUCUUCCAACCUCCAUAUUCCAUGUGAUCUAGGGAAUUCUCCCGUCUCCAUCUCCAAUCUUGCCAUAAGAGUGUUAGGAUUAAAGAUUUAGACCACAGCA